rnacentral:lncRNA from 10 species
UAGGGGAGGAAAGAUAGGGGAGGAAAGCCUGGCCCUGAUGGGACAUCUAUUCAAUGGCGUGUUCCAGUGACAUGAAGCAAAGGGGAUGAGACUGAGCGUGGCUGAGGACAGGUGUACUCCAACAUGAAAACGGAGCAUGCAUGUGAGCUGAGUAGUGACAUGCAACAUGCAUGUCCAUUGAUCCUUGCUGCUCAUUCACAUACAGUGUUCGCGAUGCCCCCUGGACACAGAAUUCCAGUGGACCCACCACGUGUGGGGAUUCAGGGGAGACUCAAAGCAAAUACAAGGGUGAGGAGAAAAGAUGAAGAACAGUGGAGAAAAGUGGAGAAAAGAUGAAGUUUAUGCAGCAAAUUGCUAACUGGAACAAGGUUCCAUACAGAUAGCCAGCCAUGGGAGUCAGAAUUUGAACUCAGAUCUGGUCUGGUUCUGAAGCCUCUCUUCUUUCCAGCUGUGAGACAAAGGAGCAAAUAUGAGAAGCACCUUUUGCUCACUUCUGCUUGCCAGCAGAAUUUCACAAAAGCCCUGGACUGUGAAGAUGUUUGGAAAGAUGCUUUGAAGACAAAACCUUUAACAGGGUUAGUGUUUAUGCCUCUGUAAUCUACAACCGGAUGCGCUCUUACACCCAAGCCUUGAUGGGAUUCUGCUGCGACGGAAAUUCUGAGCAAAUUUGAUGUGAUUGUGCAGGAAGAAGCAACAGGAUUGUACCCACCUAUAACGAGAAAGCUUAACUUACUGACAUAUUCUCAUUGCUGAAGACUCUGUCUGAAUGAGGAUUUCAAUCUCAAGUCUAGGAUGUGAUUUCAUCUGGUAAAUGUCUUAUGGAAGGCUGAGGAGCAGCCUAAUGAGGUGAAGGGGAGAGGCAGACACGGAAGAAGCGCAUCUGUAGCUAAGAAAGAAAUACACUGACCCCAUUUCCAGUGGUUGAGCUUCUCUCCAAGUAGGUAGAUGCUGGCGAUGAAGACGUAGCUGAGAGAGAAGAAAGCUGCUAGACCCAAGAGGCUGAGUUUGGCAAACACAGGAUACACCCAGGUACCCGUCUCAAAGUAGAGCCAUAGGAUGCUGCAGGAAAUAAGAAGUCGUGGUGGUUAUAGCAGGAGGAGAAAAACAAGCCAUUUUCUCAUCAGGAUUAAUGAGGUACUGGUACCCAGGCAGGGGAAGAGAACCCAUCAGGGACGUUUGUCAACAGCUGUAGUAUUCCCACAAACCUAAAGAAGUGAGGCUUUUCUGGGUAAAUCAACUUGAUUCAAUAAGACAUGCUGUUUGAUGGGCUGGGCUGGGCUGUUUUACCUAAUCCACUUAAAUUCAACAUUGGUGAAAAAAUAUAAGAGAACAUAGGGCCAGGCACUGUGGCUCAUGCCUGUAAUCCCAGCACUUUGGGAGGCUGAGGGGGGUGGAUCACCUGAGGUCAGGAGUUCGAGAGCAGCCUGGCCAACAUGAUGAAACCCCAUCUCCACUAAAAAUACAAAAAAUUAACUGGGCAUGGUGGCUCAGGCCUGUAAUCCCAGCUACUAGGGAGGCGGAGGAAGAAGAAUCGCUUGAACCUGGGAGGCAGAGGUUGCAGUGAUCCAAGAUCACGCCACUGCACUCUAGCCUGGGCAACAAGAGUGAAACUUUGUCUCAAAAACAAACAAACAAACAAACAAACAAACAUAGAACCAUCGUUAGCUAAAGAACUAAAGAGAGUAUGUGGGAACAUGAAUGAUCCCUUUCCCUGAGAGGUAUGGCCUGCUGAGACAUUGAACCUGCUAUUAUGGCAUUGAUUUUGCUGGCUCUAAGCCAGAGAAGUGGGGUUUGCUUUUUUGGAUCUAAGAAUCAGGUGCAGCUUUCCCUUAGCUCUCCAAGUCUGCGGGGAUGAGGGAGCAGAGAUAGAGCGUUAUUGCCCUAACACAAUAUGCCUAGGAUUUAACUGUCGGCCCUGAUUUUCACUCAUGCAUAUAGCCAUAAAUAGAGUGUUAGGCAGUAAUGCAUGGAUUUGCAGGGAGGCUCAGAUCUUGCUUAUGUGAGGAUAGGCUGUAAGUCAUUUCUGGAAGCCGAGAGAAGGAAAAGAAAUGCUAGGAGAAGAGCCAUGAUGUCUAAGUGAAGCCUAAAAAUGCAGUUUGCUGGAAACCAACUGCACUGGAAGGUGCCAAAGUCUGAAAUAACUUUAAAAAAUUAAAUGUGGGGAAGCUGAUGCAUCAGCUACAGUUCAUCAUUGGUUAGGAGCACAGAAUCUGGAACUGGGCUUCUGUGAUUCAAACCCCAGCUCUGCCACCUAGUAGCUAUGUUACCUCCAGCAAUUUCAUCAACCUUUCUGUCCCCAUCUCCUCAAUGUGUAAAGUGAAGAUCCAAACAGCAUACACCUUCUAAGGCUGUUGUAAAGAUUACGGGAGUUAACACAUGUAAAAGACACAGAACAGUGCUUGGCACAUUGUAAUAUUUGACAAGAGUUCAAAAGCUUCCAUCUCCACUGAGGGAUGGCACAAUGGGAGUGCUCUCAGAAAGCCUUCUUUGAAGCUGCUGAUCUCUUGUAGCAAUUAGGAUAGGCCAGGUUAUGCUUCAAAAACAAUAUUUAAAUUUGAAUAUCCCACGUUGUCAAAGGAAUUCAGAUGGAAGAAUGAAAUUCUGUGCUUAAACUUUCAGAAACCCAAGGGUGAUCUCUGUCAUUUCAAAUACUUGAAGUUUGUUAAAUGGUUUGUGGAAGAGUCAAGGGCUAUAUUCAGGACCGGGAGUAGGGUGAAGCAAGAGAGGCCCUAGGGUGUAAAACUUAAGGGAUCAUCUCUGCAACAAAGGACACAAUAAACAGUGUGAAAAGGCAAUCCAUGGAAUGGGAAACAAUAUUUCUAAUCAUAUCUCUAAUAAGGGGUUAAUAUCCAAAAUAUGUAAAAUAUUCCUGUAACUCAACAAUAACAAAAAACCCAAAUAACUCAAUUAAAAAUGGACAAAGGACUUGAAUAGACCUUUUACAGAGAAGAUACAUAAAAGGCCAACAAAUGCAUGAAAGGAUGUUCAACAUCACUAAUAACUAGAAGAAAUGCAAAUCAAAAUGACAGUGAGAUAUUGUCUUACACUCAUUAGGAUGGAUACUAUAUUUUUUUUAAAAAGACAAGAUAACAAGUGUUAGUAAGGACAUAGAGAAAUUGGAACCCUUGUUCAUUGUUGGUAGGAAUGGAAGAUGGUACAUCUGCCUUGGAAAACUAUAUGGUGGUUCUCCCCAAAAUUAAAAUAGAAUUACCAUCUGAUCCAGCAAUUCCACUUCUGGGUACACACCCAAAAGAACUGAAAACAUGGCUAACAUGGUGAAACCCCAUCUCUACUAAAUAUACAAAAAAUUAGCCAGGCGUGGUGGCAGGUGCCUGUAGUCCCAGCUACUUGGGAGGCUGAGGGCAGGAGAAUGGCAUGAACCUGGGAGGCAGAGCUUGCAGUGAUUGGAGAUCGCGCCACUGCACUCCAGCCUGGGCGAGAGAAUGAGACUCUAUCUCAAAAAAAAAAAAAAAAGGAAUUGAAAACAGGGAUCUGAAGAGAUAUUUGUACACCCAUGUUUAUAGCAGCAUUAUUCACAAUAGCCUGAAGGUGGAAUCUCCCCAAGUGCCCACUGAUAGAUGAAUGGAUAAAUAAAAUGUGGCUUAUACAUAGGCAUUAAGAAGGAAGAACAUUCUGACACAUGCUACCACACAGAUCAACUUUGAAGACAUGGUAAGUGAAAUAAACCAGUCGUAAAAGGACAAAUACUGUAUAAUUCCAUUUAUAUGAGAAACCUAGAAUGUCAGAUUCAUAGAGGGAGAAAGUAGAAUGGUGCUUGCCAUGUGGUUGCGGGAGGAGGCAGCGGGGAAUGCUAUCUAUGGUUUCAAUAUGGUUUGUUUGUUCGUACCAAAACUCAUGUUGAAAUUUGGUCCUGCGUGUGUUGGUGUUGGGAGGGGGAGCCUAGUGGGAGGUGUUCGGGUCAUGGGGUUGGAUCUCCUAAGAAUGGUUUGAUGCUGUUCUUGUGAUAGUAAGCUCUAGAAAUGGAUUUUUUCUAUGAGAAUGGGUUGUUAUAAAUCUAGGGUGCCCCUCAGGUUUUGCCCUUUUCACACGUGUCCAUUUCCCCUUUGAUCUUCUCCACCACAUUGUGAGGCAGCAGUAAGGCCCUUGUCGGCAGCCAGGGCCAUGCCCUUGAACUUCUCAGCCUGCAGAAUAUGAACUAAAUAAACCUCUUUUCAAUCUCUGAUAUCCUUUUAUAGCAACACAAAAUGGACUGAGCCAGGGAGUUAUUGUUUAACGGGUAGACUUUCAGUUUGGGAAGAUGUAAAAGUUCUGGAGAUGGAUGGUGGUGAUGGAUGCACAACAAGGUAAAUGUACAAAAUGCUACAGAGCUUAAAAAUGAUCAAAAUGGUAAAUCACUUAAAAUCGUUAAAGUUGUAAAUAUUGUGUACCUUUUACCACAAUUUAAAUGUAUCUAAGGAGGUGUCAAUUUUAGGGUCAUAUAAAUGUAGGGUUGGCAUUUAGUUCCUCGCCUGGGCCCUGCUGGUAUCACUCUGCUUUCCCAAACUUGUCUGGAUGUUCCUCCCAGAUUGAGAAUGAGGUGACUAGAACAAACAAUAAUUAUCAUCAUUGUUACUAAUAUUAGAAUUCUUUUUCUUUUUUUAGAUGGAGUCUCACUCUGUUGCUCAGGCUGGAGUGCAGUGGUGCAAUCUCGGCUCACUGCAAGCUCCGCUUCCUGGGUUCAGCGAUUCUCCUGCCUCACCCUCCCGAGUAGCUGGGUUUACAGGCGUGCGCCACCAUGCCCAGCUAAUUUUUGUAUUUUUUGUAAAGACAGGGUUUCACCAUGUUGGUCAGGAUGGUCUCAAACUCCUGACCUUGUGAUCCGCCCACCUCAGCCUCCCAAAGUGCUGGGAUUACAAGCAUGAGCCACCAUGGCCAGCCUAGAGUUCUUUAAGAUAUGCGUUCCAUGGAUGCAUUACAGGAUGCCCACAGUGAUUCUUACCUGCAUGGCUACUUCUCAUGGCAGGACAAAGAAGCAAUCUUGUCACUCCACGAGGGUUCAACUAGCUGCAUCUCCUCAGCCCCAUCUUUCUUGAGACUGCAGGGUCUGAAUUUCUGAAUGGAAAUUCCUCCAGGCAGGCAUUUUGGUUGAAUAAGAACUAAGGUUUGAACAGGAAAGAUGAGAAGAGCAGGAGAUGAGAUACCCUCUCCUCUCCUAGUCCUCCACCUCCAUCCCUCUUCAGUUUGGAUCCUGGCUGGGCUGGACCCCGCAUGUUGACAACAAGGAUGUGUUGUGUGGCAUCUUUUUAAUUAAUUUUCAUAUAUGAAUUUACAGGUAGGGUAAGGAUUUCUUCUGUGGAAAAUGGUGCUGAGAUUCCAAUCCCUGCUGAGUUGAGGUUAUAAAGCUAUGGUUGACCUGGAUGAUCUCAGUUGAAGGUCAUAUUUUGGAAACGGUAACAGUGGCUCUGGUAGGGAGUUCACAACAUGGUUGGUUCUGAGCAGGACCAACCAUGUGUUAGGGAAAAUAUUUAUUCAAUAGAAAAAUGAAUAAAAACCAGAAAGAGAAGAAGAGAAUUGCUGAUUCUGGAAAUGGCAAGGUGGCUGGUCCUGGAACUCAGCUUAGUCCACCCCUUGGCAGUUUUUAAUGUAUUCUCAGGGUAAGAUGUGUACAUGUAUUUGUAAAUGAGGCAUGAAUUUAAAGAACUGUUACUUCUGGGAACCCAGGAAGCUUUGCUGAGGGAUCUUACCCUGGAGAGCACAGUAUAAAAGAAAGUAAUUCUCUCUCUUGCCUCAUAGCAACUACUUUGGGGAAGGGACUUUACAAACAUCUGCCCCAAGGCUGGGUGACAGCUGCAUAUCUGUGCAGUGUUUGUACGGGGCAUGCAAUACUUUACACACUAGCAGGGACACCUGCAGCAUCAGUAGGUUUCUGGUCUACCAAGAGCAGUGUGAUGAUGCACUCCAGGCCAGCUGGGGUGGUUGCUGUGGCGAGUAACAUUGUUAAUUCUACCAACACAGGGGGCUGAUGGGUAAAUGACACUGUUGGCAUCAGCAGUGGGCAUGGUGUGCUAACCCUUAACACUGUGCCAGGUGGGGAUGUUGGACCCAGUGGGGAUUACAGUUUUGCUAUCUGUGUGUAAGAACAAUGCUCAGAACAGUGUGCAGCAUGGGUUGUGCAGUGCACGACAGGGGCAUGUGUGAGCACUCAGCAGAUUAUUGGAACUCCUUGGAAAACUGGACCAAGACCUCCAAGGCAGAAGGGUGCUUGGGGAUAUCACUGGAACUGUGAAAUAACCAUACAUAAAAACUAAGACAUUGUGAUCAAAGUACAUAAUGUGCUGGCUAGUUUUUAUUUUUAUAUUGGUUUAUAUUUUAUUUUGUUUCCCAUCUCUUGUCACUCCAACUUAUUUGAAGCACUAUUGUCAAGAAUGACAUUUUAAAGCAUAAUUUGCUGGCCAAGUUACAAAUACUGCUCACCCUUGCUUCCACUCCAAACAAACAAACAAACAACAGCAACAACAAAUGCUCCCAUUUUCUAUACUAUGUCCAACAUCCUCUAGUCUGCCAUCUGCAAGCCUUCAUGAGUGGGUAGUUCCAGGGAUAUUUCUCAUUAGUCUCUUUCACAAACAGGUCCAGCAAAGAGAAUUACUGACCCUUGCUCUCACGCUUUCUGCACUCUCCUGGCCUUGGGACUGUGCUCCUUUUGUUUACCUUCUCUCAUUUUUUCUAGCUCCAAUCCUGCCGGUCCUUCAGGGCUCAGAUCCAAUGCAUGCCUUCCACAGUGCCCUUCCCACACCGCUCAGCUGGAUGCAAACUCUUCCUUUUCUGUGGCUCCUUGUGUUUUUUUUAUGAGGUUUUACCACUUUCCAUCUUCUGCACUUAUAAUUUGUAUGCAUGGGUCAUCUCCACUUAUUAAGGAUAAACCCCCUGCAGGCUGAAGCUUGGCCUGAUAUAACAUUGCUUUUCUGGGCAGGACCAACCAUGUGUUAGGGAAAAUAUUUAUUCA